AUUGAACGCUGGCGGCAUGCCUUACACAUGCAAGUCGAACGGCAGCAUAGGAGCUUGCUCCUGAUGGCGAGUGGCGAACGGGUGAGUAAUAUAUCGGAACGUGCCCUAGAGUGGGGGAUAACUAGUCGAAAGACUAGCUAAUACCGCAUACGAUCUACGGAUGAAAGUGGGGGAUCGCAAGACCUCAUGCUCCUGGAGCGGCCGAUAUCUGAUUAGCUAGUUGGUGGGGUAAAAGCCUACCAAGGCAACGAUCAGUAGCUGGUCUGAGAGGACGACCAGCCACACUGGGACUGAGACACGGCCCAGACUCCUACGGGAGGCAGCAGUGGGGAAUUUUGGACAAUGGGGGCAACCCUGAUCCAGCAAUGCCGCGUGAGUGAAGAAGGCCUUCGGGUUGUAAAGCUCUUUUGUCAGGGAAGAAACGGUGGUGGCGAAUAACUACUACUAAUGACGGUACCUGAAGAAUAAGCACCGGCUAACUACGUGCCAGCCGCCGCCGUAACAC
rnacentral:rRNA from 1 species